GCUACAGCAGGUCACCCGGUCUCUGGUGCUAUAUGGGACCUUUGGCAGACCUUGAAUAGGGCUCACGGGGGUCAGGGCAGUCAGCCAGAGGAAAUGUCCUUUGGUUAUUUCCAGACACCAGAUUCUCCUGUUCAAUAGGCUACGGUGCAUGGAGGCCCCCAUGCAGCCCAGGCAUGGCUCACGACAAACCUGUAUCUAAUGAAGCCUCCAGAUCUAACUACCAGUUUACAAGACCUCUAAGGAUAAAGGAAAAUGUUAAAGACACUUCAAGGUAUCAGCCACAUCCAGAAUAAGGACAAAAUUCUAUGUGAUAAAUCACCCCAUUUCAACAAUAACUGGCAUUUUAAAAGGGGGUUCUCUAUUAUACAUUUUUGAAGGUUUAAGCGAAAUAUCAAUCAAAUCCAAUGAGUGGACACUUACAAAUCUGAAUUUAAACAAACCAACAAUAAAAAGACGUUUUGAGUGGGAGUGGGGCACUGUGGCAUAUGCUUGUAGUCCCAGCUAUCUGGGAGGCUGAGAUAGGAGGAUCACAAUUUCAAAGCCAGCCUCAGCAAAAACUGAGGAACUAAGCAACUCAGUGAGACCCUGUCUUUAAAUAAAAUACAAAAUAGGGCUGGGGAUGUGGCUCAGUGGUUGAGUUUCUCUGAGUUCAAUUUCAGGUAUGAAGAAAAAAAUAAAGUUUUGAAGUCAGGUACAGUGCACACACAAGCCCAGCUACUUGGGAAGCUGAGGCAGGAGGAUUGCAAGUUCAAGGCCAGCCUGGGCAACCUGGCAGAUGAGUCUAAAAAAAAAAGGCCUGGGAUGUAGCUCAGUGUUCCCACACCACAGAAAAACAAAAACACUUAAGCCAAGGGGAAAAAAAGAAGAGAAAAAGAAAAAAUGGAGGAAGCGAAGGAAAGGGAAAAAGCAGAUAGGGGAUAGAUGAAAAAAGAAAAGGGGUUCAUUAUACAUUUUUACUAUGGAUUUUGGAAAUAUCUAUAAUAAUAUUUUUUUAAAGUAUGUGAUAGAUUCAUGUGUCCCUCCAUGUUAGGAUGGCCUUAGGCCUGAGCCUAAGCAACUCCAUUUUAAAAACUCCAGUUUGAAACCUGCAGUCUUACCAGGCCACCCACACAGCCCUCCAGUGUGGCCACAAACAAGUUACUUCCCCUCACCCUGAUCAACAGAGGGAAGCCCCUGGCAGGCUGUCCUCACCUGAUAAGAGGGAAAGGUGAGAAGAUCAGGGUGGAGACCACGUGACCAGAUGUUUCUGACCCCAGAGUAAAUGAUGUCACUGAGAAAUGCAGUGGUAGCUGAUAAGGAUUGAAAGGGGGGUUAAAAAAAAAAUCAAAAUUUAGUGUAAAUGAUAGAGCAAAUGAACAGGGAUUCAGCCAGGAUGCACUCCAGCUGGAGAGCCUCAUGAGGACCUGACGUCCCAUCACUUGUCAUCCCAUCACUUGUUUCCUGAGCCUCUGCGUGAUCCUCACGGCUCUCAAACUCUACCGCCUCGUCUUGACCUUGGUGACAGCUGCAACUCCUCCCUAUGACCCUCUCCUCAAUGGUCGUCCACUCCACACCAGGAAAAGCCUGCUUUGGUUCCGGAUCUGGUCACCACAGUCAGAGUGAGUGUGCAUCUGCUGGACAUAAAGCCUAAGGCUUAAGACCUUUGAACUUAGCAUGCAGAGGGAAUGUUGUUAUUAGCCUGUCAUGAUUCAGUGUGUUUUGCAGUGCUCAGAAUUAACCUAGAAUUGUUUGCUGUGAAUUGAUUAUGUCUAUUGCAG
rnacentral:lncRNA from 1 species